UCAAAGAAGCGUUACCUAACUCAACUUCAGUAAUAUAAAACCAGCCCAGUUCAAGGCUCGCCACUGCCAGUGAUCGCGCUCGCUCUCUCUCGACAUGAACCUUUUGACGGCUGCAGCCUGGGUAGUGGGAGCAAUAGUUGCUGUUGCCCUGGCUCCUGCUGUGGGAGCAGAGGCUGAUGCAGUCGCUAACAAGGAAGGAGUGGCAGUAGGAAGUGUGGUGGAGGCAGCAGGUAAAACACAUUAUUUGAACUUUCUCACAAAAGACACAACAUUAACAGGGUGUUACACUCUCACACGUCGGAACAUCUAACGCCCUCGUGUUUGUGUUCAUAAGUCAUAACAUCACCCAUAGGCUCACACAGCUCGGUGACUUUCACCGACUCUGGAUGAAAGACUGCAGCUUCCAGCGAGACUAGAGUAGCAGCAGUCAAGACACUGAGAUAAGCCCCGCCCCUCUAAGGCGGGAAUGAAGCGAAUGGCGCUCGUGUGAUUGGUUGAUAAUGAAGGCGACAUUUGAUUGGCUACAGAUAGUUCUAUGUUUAAAAAAACGCGG